rfam:Stegodyphus mimosarum contig62591, whole genome shotgun sequence.
GCCUUCGUGGUGUAACGAUAGCCUAUUCGACCCGUAUUCGAGAGGUCUAGGUUCCAGUCCUGGCGAGGGCA